rnacentral:rRNA from 1 species
GACGAACGCUGGCGGCGUGGAUUAGGCAUGCAAGUCGAACGGUAUCAUCCUUUCGGGGGUGAGAGAGUGGCGAACUGGUGAGUAACACGUAGGUUAUCUACCCUCAAGACGGGGACAACCCAGGGAAACUUGGGCUAAUACCGGAUGUGAGCAACUUUUAGUUGUUUGAAAGGUGGCGUAAGCUGUCGCUUGGGGAUGAGCCUGCGUCCUAUUAGUUAGUUGGUGAGGUAACGGCUCACCUAGGCAAUGAUAGGUAGGCGGCCUUAACGGGUGGUCGCCCACACUGGGAUUGAGAUACGGCCCAGACUCCUACGGGAGGCAGCAGUCGAGAAUAGUCUACAAUGGUCGGAAGACUGAUAGUGCGACGCCGCGUGAACGAUGAAUCCCUUCGGGGUGUAAAGUUCUUUUAUAUGUGAGCAGUGCUUCUUAUAUUAACAGUAUGGGGAGAGAGAUAUUAGCAUAUGAAUAAGCAACGGCUAACUCCGUGCCAGCAGCCGCGGUAAAAUACCG